CUUCUCUUAUUUGUUAGUAAAUCUUUAUCUUAGGUGUUAGAUUUUAUUGGGUGUGAUUGUUAUAUUUUUAGCAACUACAUUCUGACGCCGACUAAGGGGACCGAGAGUCUCAAAUCCAUAGUUUAUAGCUUGGAAGUAGUUCCACUGAAGUUAGUACUUAGUACUGAUCUACUGACUACCUGAGUGUUGAAGUGUGAAGGGUAAAUGUGGAACUCGGACUAAAGAAAGCCAUCUUCAGACAUCAGACGGCAGAAAACAUCAGUAGUUCCGUGUGGGUGAACCAGAGAUACAUACAAAGAGGACCUCGACAAAAUUGGAAACAUAGAUACUUUGGCGAAGAAAAAAUCCGAAGCAGGACGAAUCUUCUUCUCAUUUAUCUCUUAUUUUUGUUUGUUAACAUUUCGAUCCGAAAGUUUUGACUACAAAUUUUCAAAAGGUGUUUUAUGGAAAACUAAGUGAUAAUUGGAAUGGUGUACGACGCUGACAGUAGAGGGAGAAUCUUACAACUGAUUUUCCUUGCCGCGAUAUGGAUUCCAUCCCACCUCUAGUCUCCAUCAUCGGGAGUUACAGGAAGAUGGAAAUUGUGAAAACACCAGCAAUUUAUUCGGAUCUCAUCAACUGAAUUACGAAGGAGAUCGUCACGAGACAAACUACCACAGUUGAACAAAGCUUAGAUUAGCCUGUUUAGAUCAUCGACAUCUCGUCAAUUUACCUCGGAUGAAUUCCAGAUUAUAAGCUGCAAUCAGCAUCAUGUCGGCUACUUCAGGGGAGUAUACAUCUCGGGCUCGGUCACAGGAGUCAAAUUCAAGACUCCAUCGAAUUUUGUUCUUUUAAAUUAACUCGUAGCAUCCAUCUCGGGUCCAACCACCUCUGGGUUCAUCGGCACAUCUCCAACCAAUGACCAUCUCGACCAAUUCUGCUUGUAGCAUCAAUGGGAAUUACAACAACUCAGCUUUGUGGAAUUCUAUAUUGGGGCGAGGCGAGUCAGUUAACUUGCUCGGAUCCAAAUCAUCUCGUGCCUAGUCAAAUCAGGACAGAUACCAGGCGAUCGGGGCUAACUACAUCGGCCGGUUCCAUUCGUUUGCAAAGCUUAAAUCGGAUCAGUUCAUAUCAGGAAAGGUGAACCUCAUCGGCCAGGGUAGUCGCUUCAGAUCAACUCGGAAAGAUCAUAGUUGACUCGCUUUGGGAACUCAGCUCGGGAAAAUGGAGUCGGCUCGUUCCAGAAUAGUACACCUUCAUCGAGACAUUCAUCCAUAACAGGGAACAUUCUUAACUCCUUAAUCCUCAUUUUUCGGGUCAUGUUGAUGAAUGUUAUUUAACAUCCUCCUCGAAUAAGUCUGGUACAAGAGCGAUCGGCUUAGUUAAAUGCAACUCCUACCUAAGAAAGCAUGAAUAGUUUUCGUUUCAAUACUUGAGAAAGCAUAUCCCUGACGUUUGCCAUGCAAAUAUGAAUUACUUCUAUUAGCUAUGAACUACAAGGUUUCAAGCUUGACUUGAUGUCCAGUCAUCGUAAAAUGGUACUGAAUGAGAAAUAUGCGAGAAGGUGAUGUCUUGUUUUAUAGUUUCGGAAGAGACCAUCCACUAUUGAUCCAUGUCUAUCCAAUAUGAACCAUGGCGCUUCAUUUAUGUAUUCUCGUUAUGACAUGAUUGAACUUGAAAUUAUAUCUGACUCCUUGAAGAGAUAUGUUGCUGAAACUUUAAGCAUUUUAAAAUUGAAUUCACUGAAAUGCUUUGUGUAAUGGCUAAUACAUAGGGAGUCUUGGUUGUGCAUUAUUGUGCACAGAUUCUGUUGCUUACUUGAUUUGAAAGCUGGUGAUAAGAUACGCAUCUAUGUAAAGUGGACAUUUUGUUGUUUCCUGAAACACUAAACUCAGUUUAAUAAAGAAUAUAAUGCAGACUCUCGUGAAUGUAAUUCGUACUAAGAAUCCAGCAGGUAUAGGCAUGAGAUAUUGCGGGAAGUAGCUUCUUCGAUCGUUUUAGGGCGUCUGUGUGUCCAAUCUUUUUAGCAUGUGUAGGGCUAUCUGUAUGUUGGUUUCUAGAUGAUGCUGUAAUGUUGAGAUAACUAGAUUUGUCAAUUUAAUUUGCGAUCCGCUCAUUGGGAAGAAAACAAGUGUAUAUAAAAGCAAUAUGAUGAAUAGAUGCCUGUAGGAUAACAAGUUAUCAGUUGGAAUGGUAAUUAGAUACACGAAUAAGCUGAGAAAGUUCAUCACCUCGUUAUGUUGGGAUUGUCGCUAUAAUCAUUUAUACUUAGGUUGUCACAAUAGCCGUUUAAAUCAUCGAAAUGCUUAAUUCUUCAAUGCAUUGUCAUUCUACUUGAACGUGUCACUUAUCUUGAUAAUUCUGUGCUGUUAGAGUUAUACCUCAACCAGAGCAUCUACAACAAUGACAUCUAGAGGGGUCAUUUGAUUUUUAUAACCAUUGCUCACCUGAAUUGAUGAUCGCAGGCGCAUAAAUCCAAUCCCGAGUAUGAAUUGAGAAGUAAAAGGACGAGCGUUGAGCGGAGACGUAGACUCCAAGGGAGGGGAAACUUUGCUCAUGGAGACGAAAAGAUCCUCUCUAACCAAACCACCAGACUUUACCCACUGAAUUUGUGGAGUAUCGGCCACUCAGCAUCGUGUAGGAUCAUCUCAGAUGGGGAUUGUUGUCAUUCACCUCAGAACAAUCUUUGGCUCGGGUCUCACCAACUUCUGGUCACUACCCCUCAUUGGGAAAAGAACUGCACAUACGAUCAAAUUGGACUUGCAUACGCUUCUUCAGAUCACCAUGAACCACAAUCUCAGACAUGAUUUCUCGGGAAGGCUCAAGAUUCCAUCUAUGGUCAACACCAGACAUGACGGCUCAACACUGGGAGAACCUACUGGAAUCAUGCAACUGAGCGGGGCAGCCACGCAGCGGAGGGUGUUGAACUCUGGCAUAAUAACGCAUCGCCGCAACGACAAUUACUUCUCUAACAUAAGGGCAGUGUCAAGAACUGUCACUUAUGAAAGUGCAGGCCAUGUGACCGGUUAUUGGAAGUCGAAGCUAAGUGUCACCUUUCCUAAACAUGAAUCUUGUCGUUAAUAAUACUUCUGUUGAUUGAGUUUCGAAUAUGCAAUCUGGUUUAUGUGUCGCUCGGGAUACUCACUUAACUGAUUCGUCGUUGCAGGAAAAAGGAUGUUGUCUUUAAUUGUAAAUCGACCCUUCAACGAAAUCAUCUGGGAAGAUUCUGUUAUGAACGAUCGUUUCGGAUCAACCAUCUUGGAGUUAACCACACUAGUCUGCUCAUGGAACAUCAUUUCGUCUAAGGGAGCUAUCUUGGAGUAAAUAGUUCAGGCCAAUCAACUCGGAAAGCAACGAAGUAGUAUCUCAAGCUGCACCUACUCGCGCCAGAUCACAUCGGGGCACAUACAAUCCGCUCUGACUCCACUAUCUCAAACCAGAAGUAUCUAUGACCGACGCAUAUCGGGCAAUCAUUCUCUCCGGGAGACAACUCAGAACACUUCUCCUAACACAUCCCAGCACACAAAAGCUCGCCGUGAUGCCGAAGUUAUCUCAUGAAUGGCACCAAUAAAGUUUAGGGCAGCUCCGGAUUUUACAAUUCAAGAAUUACCCAGGCCAUCUCUGGCCUCAGCUCCAGAUAAACUUGUCUUGAAAUGUCAAAUUGGACAUCACACUUUCCUUCUCUUAACCUUUGAUUCCCUUUGAUUGCUGCUUGCAUGACAUACUCUAAUGAAUGUGUCCAGGCCAUAGGAAUUCAUUAAGACUAGUUAUGAUUGAGAUACCCAUACUCAUGUUUGAAUUGAACGUCAAGAUGCCAUCAAUAUUUUCUUAAUACAUUAAACGAUCGGGUGUAUGUCUAGCUUGACCUUAGUAUGUGGCCAAGCAGCCUUAGGCAGCUACUUGAUGGGAAUAAACUUAAACAUUUUGAUUGAGACUCGAAAAUCGGCUCUGCAUAUGUAAUCAUCUUGAUAAAAGUAAACUGUUGGAGUGCAUGAUUUUUCGGAUUCAUCCUACAGUUACUUACCUUUUUGAAUCCACAGGAGGUCUGAAAGGUCGAUGAGGAGACUUUAAUCGCUUGGAGGGUGUACACAAUGGAUGCACGACGUAAUGAUCCAGUUUGCUUGAGUCUGCGAAAUUCAUUCGGGUAUGCCAGUCGGACUAUUAACAACAAUCAGUCAUCUCGGGACAAAUCAAUGUACCAGUUGCUGCGCCUACUCGUGUCAGUUCGUAUCGGGUCAUAUCCAAUCCGUUUCGGGUCCUUGCAGCGAACACUUCCUCGUUGCGAAUGAUCAUCACUCGAACCGAUCACAUUGUCGAUUCCAGCUUGCAAGACUCAUCAACUUACGAGCAACACCUAAAGAAGGGGGCGUAUCCUUGCACUCUUUUCUCCGACCUUUACUAGCUAAUACAUUGGACGAUAUCUACUGCAAAAACCCUUAGCAGAGCCUAGAUAAGUUAAGAAGAACGAAAUAACAUCCGCUACCCACAUGAGAAAUAUGAAAAUUUUCUGCACCAACUUGGAUAUUCAGAUAAAAUGGAUUCUUGUUAUUUAGUAUCAUGAUAUGAAUUGCUUUAUUUCUAGCAGCCAGGAAUUAAGAAUCCAAGAGCUUAAUUGAAUACCUAUUGGAAGUGUGAAGUAAUAGGGGAAAGUUUCGGCCGAGACGUGAUCUGUAUAACCCGAACAAAUCGGAUCGCAGAACACCCGAUCAAAAUGAUGAUGGUCAACAGACUCAAUUAAAACAACCGCUUCGAACAAUUUCGUCACAGCAGUCAACCCAGCUUCACCGAGAUAUAUCAAUCAGUCGUGGACGUCACAUUAAAAGGUACCUUUGAGGCUAAUCGGGCGAGAUACGCCGGCGACAUGAUGGUGAGCAUCGAUAUUGGAAUGGUCGUGAACCGAAAUAGCAGUAAUCAAUUCUCUUCCCAAUUAGUCUACAAGCGUGGGAGAUUCGGCGAUACUUGGAGCAAUGUGUGACUGAGAUAUUCCUCUAGCAUGUGACGCAGAACGGACAAGGAGCAAAUGAUGUUCCGAAGAUAAUCACUUGAACCACAAGGCUAUGCCAACUAUGUUCAGUACUCAACUACUUCGGACCAGACACGUCACGGAUUAGUGCAUAUUGGGCCUUCGUCUAUCUUAGAACCUACUCAUGACUACUUCCUCUCCAUUUCGAUAAAUUGGAAGCUCGGGCCAACAAGCAACCACUCGGGCAUACCUUUCAUCGGACGAGAACGGAUCAUUCCCAGCUUGGGAUCGAUUACCUCACAGCAACAGCUGACCAUGUGAACAUAUAACUUCGGGAGAUUACACGACUGUUUGCCUAUCGAAUUCCUUAUCCGUGAACGCACCAAGCCUAACUACCAGUGCGACGCUAUCUCACCUUGCCGAGAACAAUCGACUACGGAUGCAAUGCAGGACUCUUACUAUCUUAACACGAAACGUAUAGUCAGGGUAAAACCGGAAACGGACGAAACCGGACAAACGAGGACAAACGGUAGAGAAGGCAUUUUUCGGGAGACAACUGAUAACUCCAACAUCAAGGAAAGAACUUGCAAAUCGUGGCAACGAAACGGGACCGAAAUUGAAUAUCCGUGGAACAUAGUGUACUGCAUGAAACGUACAGCGGUAAGGCGAUGGCAUGAUAAACGCAGCGAUACCAUUCGUAUUUGGGUCAUCCAACGGAAUGGCCCGAGAUGGUCUAAGACUUCUGACUCCAACUUAGACUACACAGGCUUUGGAAAAUAAUAACCUGGGGGACGCCUUGGGUUGUUAGUGUACUGUAACACACAGGUCAUUCGUAAUCGGGUCAUCAAACGGAAUGAUCCGAGGUGAUCUAACUUGUCAUUUAUUUCCUUAAAACCACGAGGGGUAGGAAAUAUGACAUGAGCGACUAAUGGUCAUUCGUACUCGAGUCGACGCCAGUGUGGAAGUGCCGAGGUGACUUACACUCGAAUGGUCAUUCGUACACGGGGCAACGCCAAUGUGGAAGUGCCGAGUUGUCUUACACUCGAAUGGUCAUUCGUACUCGGGGCAAUUCCGGUGUGGAAGUGCCGAGGUGGAUUACAGUCGACUGGCUAUUCGAUACUCAGGGCAGUGGCAGUAUGCAAGUGCCGAGGUAGCCUAAGGGUUCCGGUGGUUGGAAACCAGUUCCAAAGAUUGUUAAGAUACGAUUUCUUCUCGGCCAGGUAACCUACUUACAUUGGAAAGGUUACCCCAUCGCAAGUGGCCGUGACCACUUUCCCGAGAUGGUUGGUCGAUAACCACUCGGGACCAUCGAGACAUAGCACCUAGGAAAGACCUAAUACACUUUCACUGAAUCUAAAAGAAGUGAUGAGAUACCUCAACCGGGACAUGGCAUUGGGCCCGAUGACCCUCCAUGUUGAGUGUGUUCGACAAAUAUGGAAUAUUAACUAAUGCCUACUUCGAGAUGAUUUGUAUUGCAGGAAGACGAGCAUCCUAGGACUACGAACGGUCAUGAAUGAAAGGUAAGACGAGUAUGUUAAGGUCACAGCCCCUACAACAAGGGAGUAAAACCGGUGACGCAGCUUGAAAGCUUGGUAAUAUCCAUAUGAAUGAUCGCAACUGAAGGGGCAUCAUAACUUUAGCAGUGGACUUACCUUGUCAAUGGCAAGUGAUACUUGAAUGAUUCAGUCGGGAACAACACUAUCGGGAUCACGCACAAAGGGAUCGCAACGUAUAUCAGUGACGGCAACAUGAGCUACCCAAGUCCUUCAAAUUUGUGAACAGUACUGCAAUGCAUCGCCUUCUCUUAUUAAGCUUUAAAUUGAUAUUAUUUUGUGUUAAUCGGUAUUUAUUACUAAGGUCCGGCAGAAAGUCCAAUCGAAUGAAAAUGCUACGAGAAAGUUGGAACAACAUGUGAUACCUAUUAUGAUUAUAUUAAUUUUUCCGGUUUAACAAA